rnacentral:snRNA from 1 species
GGAUGUAAGGGUGAUCUGGUUGUGAUAUCUGUUACUCUAUUGAUUGCCAGGAUUGAUUCGGCUGAUCUGGCUGGUUAGGUGGAUGUCACCUUCCCCCCCCCCCCUCUGCUCCAUGUGCCUCUCUCCCAAAGCUGUGUGCUUGGUUGAAGAGGACGGACUUCCUGAAUAGAGGUGGACUGGUCUUCUGUGGAGGGUACACGAGUAGCUGUGUUCCCCUGCUAGAAUCUUCAAACAAGUUCUCAAGAGCCCCUCUGUAGUAAGUGGCAGGGACUCAGAGGUGGUUGAUCUGAGCUACCUCAUUUUACCAGUCUUUAA